CCUACGGGUGGCAGCAGUGAGGAAUAUUGGUCAAUGGGCGCGAGCCUGAACCAGCCAAGUCGCGUGAGGGAAGACGGUCCUAUGGAUUGUAAACCUCUUUUGUCUGGGAGUAAAAUACUCCACGCGUGGCGUUCCGAGAGUACCCGAAGAAAAAGCAUCGGCUAACUCCGUGCCAGCAGCCGCGGUAAUACGGAGGAUGCGAGCGUUAUCCGGAUUUAUUGGGUUUAAAGGGUGCGUAGGCGGACGGAUAAGUUAGAGGUGAAAGCGCGAGGCUCAACUGUAGAAUUGCCGCUGAUACUGUCAGGCUAGAGAGUAGUAGCGGUAGGCGGAAUGUGUGGUGUAGCGGUGAAAUGCUUAGAGAUCAUACAGAACACCGAUUGCGAAGGCAGCUUACCAGGCUACAUCUGACGUUGAGGCACGAAAGCGUGGGGAGCAAACAGGAUUAGAUACCCUAGUAGUC
rnacentral:rRNA from 1 species